GUUUGUAUGCCGGUGGCUCUUCUCCUCUGUCAGUGUGUAAAUGCCCUCUGCAUGUCACGAAUCGCCUCCGGAUCAAAUAAAAACCUGCAAAUAUUUUCUGCCUCCAAAGCCGAGCAUCUUUAAAGGAACCUGGAGGACCCCCACAAGCAAAGACUACAGAAUACCCUUAAAGGGACUUUGCCACAAGCCUCGGCGUAAACCCGGCAGCACGGUCCAAAGAAUCUCUCAUCAAGGCAUUCAUUUACCGCCCCACACCCGCAAGCACACAGCAGCAGUCAGCGGUUGCGCCGCCCUGUGGAAGCUGAGGGAGCAGCAUUCAGGCGAGGGAGUCUGGAUGCAUGCAGCUUGAAUUUUCCAGCACUGUUGGUCUGUAUGAUGUUUGAUCGUUCGCUAUGGGACCACCUUGGGUUUGUUUAAGAUGCAGUGCUGCCAGCUUCAUUAUUGAAAGACCCUCCCAAAACACUCAACCCAAUAUGAAAUGAAGAAGUGCCAUAAAUCGCACGGUGAAGUUUCUGCGAGGAGCAGCAGGUCUCCGUGGUGAAGGUCUGAGGAAUGAGCUCAGGCUGUCAUUCUACUGUAGCUGCUGUGUUUCCAGGGGAAAUAAGCUGAGAGAGUGGACAGUAAUGACAGUCAGGACUGGACCUUAGGUGUGUGUGUCAUCUAAAUGUGUUUGCACCAAACCUCAUUAUUAAUUGCUGCAGUGUUGUAUUGCAUUGUGCAGUAUGCAUUAAAGGGAUAGUUCACCCACAAACAAAGAUACUUUGAAGAAUGUAAAUUAAAAUUUUUGGGUGAACUAGCCCUUUAAAUCUGAAACUACAGAGUUUUUGAAAUCUGUCAUUAUUGUUUUUCCACGUCACACUUAUAAGAACUGGAGGAGAAAUGUGGUUAAUUGUGAGGAAAAGAAUGCAUUUUCAGGCUUUGUUUUAAACCAAACAAAUGUCUUAUUUCUUUCUUUUGAUUUUCAGGAUAAAUCUAGCAUGUGCAUCUGUCCUUGAAGCUGUCGAGCAGCAGGACAUGGAUUUGUUGUUGAGGUUUCGCUGCUUGCGCUUGAGCCUGACAACUUAAGAUGAGGUGUUUUGCACUUAAAAACACACAUACACUCUUAAAAAUAAAGGUGCUUCACGAUGCCA
ensembl:lncRNA